UGGAGCAAAAUUCCUGGUACUAAUCUCAGCCAUUCUAGAGUAGUUUUUCUGAACACAUAGAACACCGAAAACCACGAGGAGGAGACGGAGCAUCCUCUACUGAGCAUAAGGCCGGUUCGAGGUGUUGCUUCCGCAGGUGCCUUUUUACCAUUCAUGAUCAUUUUACUCUUCCUUUGGAAGAGUGAGAGGGAGAGAGAGGAUGUAGUCUGGAGUGGU